rnacentral:rRNA from 1 species
AGUAUAAGCAACUAUACGGUGAAACUGCGAAUGGCUCAUUAAAUCAGUUAUCGUUUAUUUGAUAGUACCUUACUACAUGGAUACCUGUGGUAAUUCUAGAGCUAAUACAUGCUAAAAACCCCGACUUCGGAAGGGGUGUAUUUAUUAGAUAAAAAACCAAUGCCCUUCGGGGCUCCUUGGUGAAUCAUAAUAACUUAACGAAUCGCAUGGCCUUGCGCCGGCGAUGGUUCAUUCAAAUUUCUGCCCUAUCAACUUUCGAUGGUAGGAUAGUGGCCUACCAUGGUGGCAACGGGUAACGGGGAAUUAGGGUUCUAUUCCGGAGAGGGAGCCUGAGAAACGGCUACCACAUCCAAGGAAGGCAGCAGGCGCGCAAAUUACCCAAUCCCGAUACGGGGAGGUAGUGACAAUAAAUACUGAUACAGGGCUCUUUUGGGUCUUGUAAUUGGAAUGAGUACAAUUUAAAUCCCUUAACGAGGAACAAUUGGAGGGCAAGUCUGGUGCCAGCAGCCGCGGUAAUUCCAGCUCCAAUAGCGUAUAUUAAAGUUGUUGCAGUUAAAAAGCUCGUAGUUGAACCUUGGGCCUGGCUGGCCGGUCCGCCUCACCGCGUGUACUGGUCCGGCCGGGCCUUUCCUUCUGGGGAGCCGUAUGCCCUUCACUGGGCGUGCCGGGGAACCAGGACUUUUACUGUGAAAAAAUUAGAGUGUUCAAAGCAGGCCUUUGCUCGAAUACAUUAGCAUGGAAUAAUAGAAUAGGACGUGCGGUUCUAUUUUGUUGGUUUCUAGGGCCGCCGUAAUGAUUAAUAGGGAUAGUCGGGGGCAUUAGUAUUCAAUUGUCAGAGGUGAAAUUCUUGGAUUUAUUGAAGACUAACUACUGCGAAAGCAUUUGCCAAGGAUGUUUUCAUUAAUCAGUGAACGAAAGUUAGGGGAUCGAAGACGAUCAGAUACCGUCGUAGUCUUAACCAUAAACUAUGCCGACUAGGGAUCGGUGGGUGUUACUAUUAUGACCUCAUCGGCACCUUACGAGAAAUCAAAGUUUUUGGGUUCUGGGGGGAGUAUG